GGGGGGAGCUUCCGAGGCGUUUGUUUUUGUUUUGUUUUUGUUUUGUUGCUUCGACCUUUCUUCGUUGUUGUUGUUGUUCUUCGUUGUUCCUCUUUCUUUCCUGGUCCUUUUUCGAGGGUCCGAAGCAUCGAGACAUCGUGGUUCGCAGGGAACGAGUGGAAUUAAGUUUGUAGCGUAGUGGAGCCUUUGUUGAUAAGAUGGAGCGAAAUAAGAAUGUGUUGGGUAGCAGUUUAACUUGUAAGAGCUAGUGAGAACUUUGUGGACUGCCUUCAUCAUUAUGAUCUGACUUGUUGGCCUAAAUUUUUCCACGGAUGCAUUGUUUGAGUUCGUCACAAGCUUAGUGCCUCGAGGGUCGACUUUGAAUUUCAUAGGAUGCGCCUCAUUCGGUUACAGGGCGUGGAAGAGCUAUGAUGUUGAACAAUUCCACAUAAUACUUACCUUGCAGUUAUUUAA